GGUGCAAAGGCGAUAUUGACGUGCCUCAAUUUGAAGACAUUGUUAGAGGAAUUCUAGCUCUGUGCUCUGAUUGAGCCGCGUCAAUAUCCCCUUCUCUUUUUCUUUUGCCUUUGCCU
rnacentral:pre_miRNA from 1 species